GAUGAACGCUGGCGGCGUGCUUAACACAUGCAAGUCGAACGAAGCACCUUAUUCUGAUUUCUUCGGAAUGAAAAAUUUGGUGACUGAGUGGCGGACGGGUGAGUAACGCGUGGGUAACCUGCCUCAUACAGGGGGAUAACAGUUAGAAAUGACUGCUAAUACCGCAUAAGACCACAGCACCGCAUGGUGCAGGGGUAAAAACUCCGGUGGUAUGAGAUGGACCCGCGUCUGAUUAGGUAGUUGGUGGGGGAACGGCCUACCAAGCCGACGAUCAGUAGCCGGCCUGAGAGGGUGACCGGCCACAUUGGGACUGAGACACGGCCCAAACUCCUACGGGAGGCAGCAGUGGGGAAUAUUGCACAAUGGGGGAAACCCUGAUGCAGCGACGCCGCGUGAGCGAUGAAGUAUUUCGGUAUGUAAAGCUCUAUCAGCAGGGAAGAAAAUGACGGUACCUGACUAAGAAGCACCGGCUAAAUACGUGCCAGCAGCCGCCGUAA
rnacentral:rRNA from 1 species